rnacentral:rRNA from 1 species
GACGAACGCUGGCGGCGUGCUUAACACAUGCAAGUCGAACGGUAAGGCCCUUCUGGGUACACGAGUGGCGAACGGGUGAGUAACACGUGGGUGAUCUGCCCUGCACUUCGGGAUAAGCCUGGGAAACUGGGUCUAAUACCGGAUAGGACUCCGGACUGCAUGGUCUGGGGUGGAGAGCUUUUGCGGUGUGGGAUGGGCCCGCGGCCUAUCAGCUUGUUGGUGGGGUGAUGGCCUACCAAGGCGACGACGGGUAGCCGGCCUGAGAGGGUGACCGGCCACACUGGGACUGAGAUACGGCCCAGACUCCUACGGGAGGCAGCAGUGGGGAAUAUUGCACAAUGGGCGCAAGCCUGAUGCAGCGACGCCGCGUGAGGGAUGACGGCCUUCGGGUUGUAAACCUCUUUCAGCAUCGACGAAGCGAAAGUGACGGUAGGUGCAGAAGAAGGACCGGCCAACUACGUGCCAGCCGCCGCGGUAA